CCUGAGAAACCCAAAAGAUCGAAUGGGGAGAUUCAACGUCAGCGCAUUUGGUAUAUGUGCAAGUUAUGAUGUUAGUGUGUGUGUGUUAUCCUUGUGAUAUAUAUAUACAUUACUUGGCACGUGCUUGUAUCAUUUAAUUGCCGGAUGUCGUCGGCGUGCACUUCUCCCCUAGUAGGACGUCGCGACCCGUUGGGUGUCGGUUUACGGCCCGAAUGGUAGUCUUUAAUGUUGUAAGGGUUACCUUUAAAAUAUUAAAGACCAUCGGUGUUUUGUCUGACCGGCUGCCCGGCGGUAUUCGCACGGUAUUGAGCCGCAAUUUUUGCGUCAAACCCGCCGCAAGCGAGGCCAGUGUCUGACCCGGUAGUGCGGACCUAGUGCCGUCGCCUGGGCCUGGCCAGCUGUUGGUUGUCGCGGUGUUCUUUGACUGGCUCAUUAUGGAUAAUAUGUAAUUACCGGUCGGCGACGCUACUGCUUUGGGUACUUUCAGGACCCGUCUUGAAACACGGACCAAGGAGUCUAACAUGUGCGCGAGUCAUUGGGAUUUAUUUUUUUAUUAAAACAAACCUAAAGGCGCAAUGAAAGUAAAGGUCGUCCUUGCGUCGACCGAGGGAGGAUGGGUCGCGUUACGAUGCGGCCCCGCACUCCCGGGGCGUCUCGUUNUCAUUAUGCGAAAAGGCGCACCCNN
rnacentral:rRNA from 1 species